rnacentral:rRNA from 1 species
GGCCGCGGGAAUUCGAUUAAGGCCUAACACAUGCAAGUCGAACGCCCCGCAAGGGGAGUGGCAGACGGGUGAGGAACACGUGGGAACGUACGUUUUGGUGCGGAAUAACUCAGGGAAGCUUGUGCUAAUACCGGGUAAGCCCUUCGGGGGAAAGAUUUAUCGCCAAAAGAUCGGCCCGCGUCUGAUUAGCUAGUUGGGUGAGGUAAAGGCUCACCAAGGCGGCGAUCAGUAGCUGGUCUGAGAGGAUGAUCAGCCACGCUGGGAGUGAGACACGGCCCAGACUCCUACGGGAGGCAGCAGUGGGGAAUAUUGGAAAGUGGGGGCAACCCUGAUCCAGCCAUGCUGCGUGAGUGAUGGGGUCUUCGGAUUGUAAAGCUCUUUGGCGGGACGAUAAUG